rnacentral:rRNA from 1 species
UACGUAGGGUGCGAGCGUUUAAUCGGAAUUACUGGGCGUAAAGCGUGCGCAGGCGGUUUUGUAAGACAGGCGUGAAAUCCCCGAGCUCAACUUGGGAAUUGCGCUUGUGACUGCAAGGCUAGAGUGUGUCAGAGGGGGGUAGAAUUCCACGUGUAGCAGUGAAAUGCGUAGAGAUGUGGAGGAAUACCGAUGGCGAAGGCAGCCCCCUGGGACAUGACUGACGCUCAUGCACGAAAGCGUGGGGAGCAAACAGGAUAGAU